UGUACUUUCUUUAGUAAAAUUUAUAUCUAUAUAGUGUACUUAAUUUUGUUUCUUGGCUCUUAUAUGCUCUUUUGGGGCUUAUUGAAGAGGCCAAGAGGAUAAAGGGUUCCCAGAUAACCUUUCAUCUCCAUGAAUCUUGGUUUUAAAAAAGCAUGAGGCGGACUGAGUCUUCUGUUCUCGACCAUUUAAAGGGGUUCUUGGGGAGUUGGGUAGUAUUUGUACCAUUUAAAGGAGUUCUUCGGAUCUGCCAGUUUUCUGUCUAAAUUUCGCCCAUUUUUUUGGUUCAUUUAAUGAAAUAGGAUAUGAUUACAGUUUUUAUUUAUGAACUUUGAUUAACUUGUUUGAAGGUUGAAA